rnacentral:tRNA from 1 species
AAAUCAUUUAUAUAUAAUUUAUAUAUUAUAUAAAUAGUA